CAGCAGCCACGGUAAUACGUAGGUGGCAAGCGUUGUCCGGAAUUAUUGGGCGUAAAGGGCUCGCAGGCGGUUUCUUAAGUCUGAUGUGGAAGCCCCCGGCUCAACCGGGGAGGGUCAUUGGAAACUGGGAAACUUGAGUGCAGCAGAGGAGAGUGGAAUUCCACGUGUAGCGGUGAAAUGCGUAGAGAUGUGGAGGAACACCAGUGGCGAAGGCGACUCUCUGGUCUGUAACUGACGCUGAGGAGCGAAAGCGUGGGGAGCGAACAGGAUUAGAUACCCCUGUAGUCCCUGUCUCUUAUAC
rnacentral:rRNA from 1 species